rnacentral:rRNA from 1 species
GCGGCGGACGGGUGAGUAAUGCCUAGGAAUCUGCCUGGUAGUGGGGNNNNNNNUUCCGAAAGGAACGCUAAUACCGCAUACGUCCUACGGGAGAAAGCGGGGGAUCUUCGGACCUCGCGCUAUCAGAUGAGCCUAGGUCGGAUUAGCUAGUUGGUGAGGUAAUGGCUCACCAAGGCGACGAUCCGUAACUGGUCUGAGAGGAUGAUCAGUCACACUGGAACUGAGACACGGUCCAGACUCCUACGGGAGGCAGCAGUGGGGAAUAUUGGACAAUGGGCGAAAGCCUGAUCCAGCCAUGCCGCGUGUGUGAAGAAGGUCUUCGGAUUGUAAAGCACUUUAAGUUGGGAGGAAGGGUAUUCACCUAAUACGUGAGUAUUUUGACGUUACCGACAGAAUAAGCACCGGCUAACUUCGUGCCAGCAGCCGCGGUAAUACGAAGGGUGCAAGCGUUAAUCGGAAUUACUGGGCGUAAAGCGCGCGUAGGUGGUUCGUUAAGUUGGAUGUGAAAGCCCCGGGCUCAACCUGGGAACUGCAUCCAAAACUGGCGAGCUAGAGUACGGUAGAGGGUAGUGNAAUUUCCUGUGUAGCGGUGAAAUGCGUANAUAUAGGAAGGAACACCAGUGGCGAANGGNNACUACCUGGACUGAUACUGACACUGAGGUGCGAAAGCGUGGGGAGCAAACAGGAUUAGAUACCCNGGNAGUCCACGCCGUAAACNAUGUCAACUAGCCGUNNGNANCNNNGANAUUUUANNNGNNCANCUAACGCNUNAAGUNGACCGCCNGGGGNANUANGNCCG